UACGGAGGGUGCAAACGUUGCUCGGAAUCAUUGGGCGUAAAGCGUGCGUAGGCGGCUUGGAAAGUCGGGUGUGAAAGCCCUCGGCUUAACCGAGGAAGUGCAUUCGAAACUUCCAGGCUUGAAUACCGGAGAGGAUGACGGAAUUCCCGGUGUAGAGGUGAAAUUCGUAGAUAUCGGGAGGAACACCAGUGGCGAAGGCGGUCAUCUGGACGGAUAUUGACGCUGAGGCACGAAAGCGUGGGGAGCAAACAGG
rnacentral:rRNA from 1 species